rnacentral:rRNA from 1 species
AGUAAGUUUUAUGAUUAAGCUACUAAGGGCGUACGGUGGAUGCCUUGGCGCCAGAAGGCGAAGAAGGACGUGGCAAGCUGCGAUAAGCCUCGGGGAGCCGCAAGCAGGCUUUGAUCCGAGGAUUUCCGAAUGGGGAAACCCGGCGAGAUGAACUCUCGCUACAGCCCGCUGAAUACAUAGGCGGGUAUGAGCCAACCCAGG